rnacentral:rRNA from 1 species
GACGAACCGUGCGAACAUUAUUCGGAAUCACUGGGCUUAAAGCGCGUGUAGGCGGACGGGGACGUCGGUCGCUGAAAUCCCCCGGCUCAACCGGGGAACGGGCGCCGAAACGCCCCGUCUCGAGGGACGUAGGGGGACCUGGAACUUCCGGUGGAGCGGUGAAAUGCGUUGAGAUCGGAAGGAACGCCCGUGGCGAAAGCGAGGUCCUGGACGUCUACUGACGCUGAGACGCGAAAGCUAGGGGAGCGAACGGG